UGGCCUCAGAUCAGGGAGGAUC
rnacentral:rRNA from 6 species